rnacentral:rRNA from 1 species
UACGUAGGGUGCAAGCGUUGUCCGGAAUUAUUGGGCGUAAAGAGCUCGUAGGCGGUUUGUCGCGUCUGCUGUGAAAACCCGAGGCUCAACCUCGGGCCUGCAGUGGGUACGGGCAGACUAGAGUGAUGUAGGGGAGACUGGAAUUCCUGGUGUAGCGGUGAAAUGCGCAGAUAUCAGGAGGAACACCAGCGGCGAAGGCGGCGCUCUGGGCCGGUACUGACGCUGAGGAGCGAAAGCGUGGGUAGCAAACAGG